rnacentral:piRNA from 1 species
UGACUAGUUGCUGAUCCUCGC